CUACGUGCCAGCAGCCGCGGUAAUACGGAGGGUGCAAGCGUUAAUCGGAAUUACUGGGCGUAAAGCGCACGCAGGCGGUUUGUUAAGUCAGAUGUGAAAUCCCCGAGCUUAACUUGGGAACUGCAUUUGAAACUGGCAAGCUAGAGUCUUGUAGAGGGGGGUAGAAUUCCAGGUGUAGCGGUGAAAUGCGUAGAGAUCUGGAGGAAUACCGGUGGCGAAGGCGGCCCCCUGGACAAAGACUGACGCUCAGGUGCGAAAGCGUGGGGAGCARACAGGAUUAGAUACCCUGGUAGUCCACGCUGUAAACGAUGUCGACUUGGAGGUUGUGCCCUUGAGGCGUGGCUUCCGGAGCUAACGCGUUAAGUCGACCGCCUGGGGAGUACGGCCGCAAGGUUAAAACUCAAAUGAAUUGACGGGGGCCCGCACAAGCGGUGGAGCAUGUGGUUUAAUUCGAUGCAACGCGAAGAACCUUACCUACUCUUGACAUCCAGA
rnacentral:rRNA from 1 species